UACAGAGGGUGCAAGCGUUAAUCGGAAUUACUGGGCGUAAAGCGUGCGUAGACGGUUAUUUAAGUCAGGUGUGAAAGCCCCGGGCUCAACCUGGGAAUUGCAUUUGAGACUGAAUAGCUAGGGUGCAGAAGAGGGAAGCGGAAUUUCCGGUGUAGCGGUGAAAUGCGUAGAUAUCGGAAGGAACACCAGUGGCGAAAGCGGCUUCCUGGUCCAGCACCGACGUCAGGCACGAAAGCGUGGGGAGCAAACAGG
rnacentral:rRNA from 1 species